UACGUAGGUGGCAAGCGUUGUCCGGAUUUACUGGGCGUAAAGAGCGCGCAGGCGGUCGGAUUAGUCGCGUGUGAAAGCCCCCGGCUCAACUGGGGAGGGUCACGCGAUACUGUUCGACUCGAAGGCAGGAGAGGGAAGUGGAAUUCCCGGUGUAGUGGUGAAAUGCGUAGAUAUCCGGAAGAACACCGGUGGCGAAGGCGGUCUGCUGGGCAGUUGCUGACACUGAGGCGCGACAGCGUGGGGAGCAAACAGG
rnacentral:rRNA from 1 species